UUCUAUCAACGCGAAGAGCUAGGUUACGGAAUUGGUGGCUGAUUUAUUGCCCUCCUCGAAUAAGACAACCUACAAGCCAAACAGCUAAAGUGCUACCAUAUAUUUACUGCGUUUGCCAAGCACGACUUUUCGCUGUAAAACUUGGAGCUUAGGAUCACCUGCGCAUACUUCCACGCCUACAUGUGCAAAAAGGUCAUUAGAAAAAUGAUAAAUCACACUUUCUCCGGCUGUGCAUACACGGCUGUCAUCUCAACCAAGACGUGAAUAAUCUCUCGUCCUCUAUUCUACGACCUUGUGAGAGAGAUAAAACAAAAGAAGAAGGAAACAUACAAUCUCAGCCCAAAUAAAAGGGUUGGAACGUGUGGGUAUUCUUUCAAUACCGUACUAUUCAAAUGGUGUGUUGUAUCAAAUUGUUGUCCAAAGCGUUUGGUCGGUUUGUUUUACGUUUGAAAUGCAUACGCGUAGAACAAGGAUUUUAAUAGUAUAAUGCAAAACAAGUAACAAUAUCUUCAAAUACACAAAAUGGACUUCUUUCUGAGUUAAUUGUUAUAAAGCCAGCUUAAAUCGUUAAAUAGUUGGACCUGUCCAUCACUCUCACCGCCUACAUGAUAUAUUAUAGAUAGUCAAUCAAGUCAAUUGCGCUGUUGUUACCGUUUAAAGCCCUUCUGCACCUACUUACGUUUCGCAUGUUUUCCUUGUACAGAACAACAAAACAGUGUCACGCAAGUGUUGCGUUACGCAUGUGACAAAAAAACAAAACAGUAUCACGCAAGUGUUACGUUACGUGUUUUCGUAGGACAAAACAACAAAACAGUGUUACACAAGUCUUACGUUACGCAUGUUUUCGUAGAACAAUACAACAAAACAGUGUGACGCGAGCCGGACCUUUUACCUGGUUGCGAAAAAUGAAAGAUGGUUUUGAAACUUUUUUUAAAGUUUAAAGAUGGUUAUUAAAGAGAAGGAGACAUCAUUUGAUGUAGAAAAUUUGUGAAAAAUAUAUUGGGUUUUUCAUUGCUUUAAAUAAAGUAAAGCAACAAAGUGUAAUUUCAAUAAGGUAGUCGUCCACACAAAAGAGUGGAAAAGACAUCCUAGUGUUUUGGCCCCAAAGAUAUGGUUUAUUUCAUGAGUUUAUAAAAAACACUCAAACAUACAACAACAGUGUAUAUUUAUAUCAGUCAUUUGUUACUUUGAAUGAAUGUUUGCCUCUGAGUGCCCUUAAACACAAAGUUAGAGAAGACGCCAGUCUACCAGCAUAAAGAAAGGCUCUCGAAUUACUGUUUUCCGGGCGCCAGAAUUUAAAAGCCAGAGUAAAGGGCCCUUCUCGUUUAUACAACAAGCAAUAGAAAGAGGUCAAUGGUUUCCACAGUGCAUCAUUCAUCUAGUGUGUUGCGGUGAAGUGGAACCGAUAUCGGCAGUUGACUGUUCGUGCGCGAGCACACAUCACUACUUCUGAUAACAAAUGGCCUUACUUUUACGAUUAUAAAGGUCACAAUUUUAACCGCACUUAAAACUUUCAAUUUACCGUUUCACUCUAAUAAAAAUUGAAGGACAAAAAGCGAUUGAAAUCUGUGACUCUGUAUAAAAAGCCUAAAAAUAACGCACAAAGUUUCGAAGUGAAAAAAAUAUUCCUAGAUGGCAAGUUUCGACUUAGUUAGUACUGCUUACUGUUGCUUUGGUACAACAACAAAAGUGACUGCACACUUACUUAUGACUCAUACCGUCGUUUAAUAACCAUGGAGAGGAGAGAGAAAUGGAGGUUAAACUGUAUAUCACUAGCGCAAUUUCUGGGCUCUGAUGAGGCUUAUUCAAUUGAUAAAAACACCCAUUCACGCUAUCACUUUUAUUUACACAUUUUUUUGUAUGAUCCAAAACGUCUAAAUUGGCACAGAUGUACAUAAUUAGGAUGGUAUACUUCUUGAGCUAAAAUCUUUCAAAAAGAAGUAAAACACCGUGUGAAUGCCUGCCAACAGGAUUUCGUUAAUAUAAUGAAAUAGUUUAUAUGUUAAAACCCGAUUUUUCUCUACUGCUCUCAGAAAACUUAAACUUUGUUUGCUUCUGAUUAGUACAUCGUCAAAUACCUCAUGGUACACGCUAGGAAACGAUCUCUGUCGAACCUGACGCACAUAAACUCAUAAUGCUUGGUCCUGUCGCAGAAGUUGACAACUUACCAUUAAUCCGACCUAUGUGGGCUUUAGGGAUAUUUUGAGGGGGAAUGUGAGUGAUGUAAGAGAUUAUUCAUAUUGUUGUCAGGAUGGAAUCAGCCUAAUACCACCUAGUUCUAGUAGUGCCAAUACUAGAUAUUUAGGGGAGAAGAGCGAUUAUUGAGAAGAUGAGAAAUAGUAAAAAAGUUUAACAGCCAUACUUUAGCAGCUUUUUAAUGAGG